rnacentral:rRNA from 1 species
CCCUUAGAUGUUCUGGGCCGCACGCGUGCUACACUGAGUGGAUCAGCGGGUCAGGUUGCGCGAAAGUGUUUCCUAAUCUUUAAAUCCGCUCGUGAUGGGGAUUGACGGUUGCAAUUUUCCGUCAUGAACGAGGAAUACCUUGUAAGCGCGGGUCAUCAUCCCGCGCUGAAUACGUCCCUGCCCUUUGUACACACCGCCCGUCGCUCCUACCGAUUGAGUGGUCCGGUGAGGCUUUGGGAUCUGAGCGGAAAGAGCGUUUCGCUGUUUCUGCCCGGAAAACUCAGUCGAACCUUAUCAUUUAGAGGAAGGAGAAGUCGUAACA